AGUUUGUUACUACAAAAGGAUUCAAAAAUAAAUCACUGACCAGUUCAUACUAUGUCUUGAAUAUGGUAAUUGGGUUUGAGCAUUACAGUGUUUGCUAACUGGUUGUGUUCAUAGUUGUUUUUUGAGGUUUGCUUUGUUUUUUGUUUUGUUUUUACACUCUUAGCCUGUCAAACUGUAUUGCUAGAUUGAGGCCCUGUUAUACUUGAAAGACAUCUGCACUUGGUUUGUCAGAUCCUACCUAGCUUUGUUCUUGCACUUUCAGUUUCAUUCUGUUUUUGAUAGUUCCUUCAUGCUUAACUUCUAGUUACUUGGAGUAGUUGAUUUGGGUGAUCAGAAUGUUUAUCCUUUAAGAUAGUUUUAUACCUAGCACAGGUUUCCCAUGAGACUAAAAGUCCAACAAUAGUCUGCUGACUCUCAGGCUAUUUGCCCUAAUUGAACUUGUACAACCUAAAACAAUUCUACAUCUAUAAUUAAGAAAGCAAAGUUAUUUACCCCCCCUCUUAAAAGCAAAAGGCAAACACAUUGCCUUCGUUUCUAUUGUUUUGUAUUAGGACUUAAAGAAACAUCAUGAGAAAUAUGGGAGACAAGCUGUGGUAUAUUUUACACUAAUGUAACCUCUUGAUUAAAAAUGAUUUACAGUUCUAUAUCAGCUGUAUUGACAUUUUAACACCAAUGGAAGUGAGAACUUUGUACAGAUUCUCUUUAGAGAAGCAACUGUAAAAUCAGCAUCAGAGUUGAAUGUACUUCAUUUCGACUCCCUUACCUCCUUUGAGUUUUCAGUUACAUUAAAGUUUUCAGUUACAUUAAUUAAGUUUGAGUAACUUUGCAGGGCUCUAUAAAUUAAUGAUCUACAUGAAGUGUAUUAUUAGAGGGAAACUAAUCUUACUGCUAAGCAGUGUGUUGUAUUAUACAGUAAAUGUUUGUGUUUGGGAAUUUAAAAAUUAUUUAAAGUAGUAGUGUCAAUGAAGGGUUUAAAAAUGUCUGGUGACUUGCUUAUUUUAAGUGAUCACCAUUAAGUCAGAAAAAAUGUAUUUUUAAAUGUUUUUUAAAGUGCCUUUUGAGAAUUUUUAAACAAUUGAUUCAAACAACUGCAUAAAAUAAACUACCAUGUUCAAAAA
rnacentral:lncRNA from 1 species